GUCAGGCAUGGUGGUGCAUGCCUGUAAUCCCAGCUACUCAGGAGGCUGAGGCAGGAGAAUCGCUUGAACCUGGGAGGCGGAGUUUGCAGUGAGCCGAGAUUGAACCACUGCACUCCAGCCUGGGUGACAGAGCGAGACUCUGUCUCAA
rnacentral:SRP_RNA from 1 species